rnacentral:misc_RNA from 1 species
GAUGAAGAACGUAGUGAAAUGCGAUAAGUAAUGUGAAUUGCAGAAUUCAGUGAAUCAUCGAAUCUUUGAACGCACAUUGCGCCCGCCAGUAUUCUGGCGGGCAUGCCUGUUCGAGCGUCAUUUCAACCCUCAGGCCCCCAGUGCCUGGCGUUGGGGAUCGGCCGCUGGCGUCCUUCGGGGCGCCUGGCCGGCCCCGAAAUCUAGUGGCGGUCUCGCUGUAGUCCUCCUCUGCGUAGUAGCACAACCUCGCAGUUGGAACGCGGCGGUGGCCAUGCCGUUAAACACCCCACUUCUGAAAGUUGACCUCGGAUCAGGUAGGAAUACCCGCUGAACUUAAGCAUAUCAAUAAGCGGAGGA